GAAUUUGAAAAAUCAAACCGAUUCGAAAUUGGUUGGUUUGGUUUCUGUUUCAGUGGUUCAAAAAUUGAACCGGAUCAAAUCGAUUUAACCUUUAAAACGACGUCGCUUAACUCCAAAAUGAUGUCGUUUUUUUACCCUAUAACCCUAGUUGCUCGCCUGCUCCUCGCUUCUUCUUCCGUACUUCUUCGCUUUGUGUUGCUUUGCUGCAGCCCACCCGCAACACUUCUCUCUCUCUCUAUCUCUCUGUCUCUCUUCGACUCUUCAAGUAGAAUUUGAUCAUAUCUUUAAUUAGCACGAUGUUGCUGCAGAUUGGACCGUGAGUGGGAAAAUAAGAGCACAAGCGUAAUGCCUAACAGAGUCGAAGAAAGCCUAGGUCAUGGACGGAGUGAUAUCAUUGUGGCAGGGAAGCUGGCAAUUAGAAGUUCUAAUCCCUCAUUUCUCCAUGAUAGAGUUUUGAGUGAAGGUUUGUCCAACACCGGGGCAUUCCCCUUCUCAAUUGGGGCUUAUAAGGA
rnacentral:lncRNA from 1 species